rnacentral:misc_RNA from 1 species
GAUGAAAAACGUAGCGAAAUGCGAUAAGUAAUGUGAAUUGCAGAAUUCAGUGAAUCAUCGAAUCUUUGAACGCUCAUUGCGCCCGGUAGUAUUCUGCCGGGCAUGCCUGUUCGAGCGUCAUUUCAACCAUCAAGCCCCAGCGCUUGUGUUGGGGGCCUGCGGCUGCCGCAGCCCCCUAAAAGCAGUGGCGGGCUCGCUAUCACACCGAGUGCAGUAGUUCAUCUUCUCUCCGGUCUUGUGAGGCGGGUUCCGGCCGUGAAACACCCCACUACAUUCAAGGUUGACCUCGGAUCAGGUAGGAAUACCCGCUGAACUUAAGCAUAUCAAUAAGCGGAGGA